GACGAACGCUGGCGGCGUGCUUAACACAUGCAAGUCGAACGGAAAGGCCCUGCUUGCAGGGUACUCGAGUGGCGAACGGGUGAGUAACACGUGGGUGAUCUGCCCUGCACUUCGGGAUAAGCCUGGGAAACUGGGUCUAAUACCGGAUAGGAGCCAUUUUUAGUGUGAUGGUUGGAAAGUUUUUUCGGUGUAGGAUGAGCUCGCGGCCUAUCAGCUUGUUGGUGGGGUAAUGGCCUACCAAGGCGGCGACGGGUAGCCGGCCUGAGAGGGUGGACGGCCACAGUGGGACUGAGAUACGGCCCAGACUCCUACGGGAGGCAGCAGGGGGGAAUAUUGAACAAUGGGCGCAAGCCUGAUGCAGCGACGCCGCGGGGGGGAUGACGGCCCUCGGGUUGUAAACUCCUUUCGCUAGGGCCGAAGCUUUUUGUGACGGUACCUAGAUAAGAAGCACCGGCUAACUACGUG
rnacentral:rRNA from 1 species